rnacentral:rRNA from 1 species
AUUGAACGCUGGCGGCAGGCCUAACACAUGCAAGUCGAACGGUAACAGGAAGCAGCUUGCUGCUUUGCUGACGAGUGGCGGACGGGUGAGUAUUGUCUGGGAAACUGCCCGAUGGAGGGGGAUAACUACUGGAAACGGUAGCUAAUACCGCAUAACGUCGCAAGACCAAAGAGGGGGACCUUAGGGCCUCUUGCCAUCGGAUGUGCCCAGAUGGGAUUAGCUAGUAGGUGGGGUAACGGCUCACCUAGGCGACGAUCCCUAGCUGGUCUGAGAGGAUGACCAGCCACACUGGAACUGAGACACGGUCCAGACUCCUACGGGAGGCAGCAGUGGGGAAUAUUGCACAAUGGGCGCAAGCCUGAUGCAGCCAUGCCGCGUGUAUGAAGAAGGCCUUCGGGUUGUAAAGUACUUUCAGCGGGGAGGAAGGGAGUAAAGUUAAUACCUUUGCUCAUUGACGUUACCCGCAGAAGAAGCACCGGCUAACUCCGUG